UACGUAGGGUGCGAGCGUUGUCCGGAAUUAUUGGGCGUAAAGAGCUUGUAGGCGGUCUGUCGCGUCUGCUGUGAAAAUCCGGGGCUCAACCCCGGACUUGCAGUGGGUACGGGCAGACUAGAGUGUGGUAGGGGAGACUGGAAUUCCUGGUGUAGCGGUGAAAUGCGCAGAUAUCAGGAGGAACACCGGUGGCGAAGGCGGCAUCCUGGACCGGCAUUGACGCUGAGGAGCGAAAGCUAGGGGAGCAAACGGG
rnacentral:rRNA from 1 species